UACGAAGGGGGCUAGCGUUGCUCGGAAUUACUGGGCGUAAAGAGCUCGUAGGCGGCUUGGUAAGUCGGGUGUGAAACCUCCAGCUCAACCUGGAGACGCCACUCGAUACUGCUAUGGCUAGAGUCCGGCAGGGGAGCGUGGAAUUCCUGGUGUAGCGGUGAAAUGCGCAGAUAUCAGGAGGAACACCAGCGGCGAAGGCGGCGCUCUGGGCCGGAACUGACGCUGAGGAGCGAAAGCAUGGAGAGCGAACAGG
rnacentral:rRNA from 1 species